rnacentral:SRP_RNA from 1 species
GCUGGGCGUGGUGGCUCACUCCUGUAAUCCCAGCACUUUGGGAGGCCGAGGCAGGUGGAUCACCUGAGGUCAGGAGUUCAAGACCAGCCUGACCAACAUGGUGAAACCCUGUCUCUA